CCCAAGAAGCUAAGUGGAUGAGGGAUGUGAAGACAUACUUAGACAAGAUGAAGGAUCUGCCUUGAACAGUAUAGUGCCAGCCUGGGAGAUGUGACCAGGCUGGCAACAUCUGAAACAGGAGACAGGCGGAGGAGAGGGUCUGAUCAGUCUCAGUGACUCCCAGGAAGAAGGUGGGGUGGCAGCAGAUCCAAGGUGCCAAGCAAAUGCCAGAUGCGUUGACAUCCAUUCUCCAGCACAACUGGGAGCAACAUUAUCAUCUGAUGAACAUGACACUCAUGAGCUUAAACCAUUUCUCCAAGGUCACAUAGAAGAUUUAUCUGAAUUAUUCCAUUUCUGUACAUUGCUCUGCUCUCUGUAUUGUAUUUGGGUGAAGAUGGCAUUAAAGUAACCUCACUGGUGA